CCUCCACCGUCUCUCUCUGUUAAUUGGUUCUGGCUCGACGUGAGUCUCGAUUCCACUAGCUACGGAAUACACUUCAAUAGAUCUGAAGGCGGCGCCAGCGAGGACAAACGAUCGGUGGGAAUAACGAGGAGUACGAAAGUAGUAGGGUUUCGAGGCGCUUCCUGCUCCGGCAUUGUGCUGGUGAGAAAGGGAUAGGGAGGUGAGUCUGGGAACAUCUUAAUGCUUCGCUUCGAGACAUCGCUGCUGAAUGAUUCAUCACGCGUGCAAUGGAAAUAGGGAAUCUUCGGCCAACCACCGCUCUUUGGGAGAUUAGAUCCACCGUGUAUAUAUAUUGCAUGUUUGCAUCAAAUGAUACAAAUGCAAUUCCUUGAUGUCAACGAGGUACCAUACCAAGGCUAUUUCACAAAAUUUGAACACUCCCCUAGAACAGAAGCAAAAAACAAGUAAAUACUGACAGAAAAAUGCAAGAUCAUCGAAAAAGUUCAGGCAAAAUCAGUUAAGAAUUGUCCAUCGAACAAGCUGUCAGACCAUGAGGGAGGAAGGUCACUGCCAAGACAGCUGUAGCUGGUACUAGCAUCCCCGAGGUUGCCAAAGGAUAUGUCGGUGAAUGGAGGCAGAGGUGAAUGAGACAAGAACGGUGACCUGGGAAUGGAGUCUGUGCCUGUGAUAUGGUUAAUUAAGCCAUUGGUAUCUGCACUACUUGCUAUGGAAGCCAACAUCUGGAGCUGCUGCAAGUACUGGAGCUUCGCGGCCUGGUUCACAUCGGCUUGAAGCCCGGCAGCAGAACUGUGGCCAUCCCAAGGCAACCGGCCUUCAGCAAACUCACGCAGCUUGGCGAAGACGACGAGCUGUUGCAGGGUGGCAAAAAAAUUUGUUCUUGGUCGGUGCGUCAUCGGAUCAAACCCCAAAUGGAUGAGCUUCUUCUUCAGAGAUAGAAGAGGGAAAUAGAGGACCUGCAAGUUUUGGAAGGGCUCUCCAACUGCCAUGGCCGUGCUUCUCGAUGUACUGCACCAGCUUGUGGUCCUCUUCAGGAGUCCAAGGACCCUUCUUGAGGCCAUUGAUCUUGUCA